GACGAACGCUGGCGGCGUGCUUAACACAUGCAAGUCGAACGGACAGACGCGGCUUUUGCGCGGUGCUCGAGAGGCGAGGGGGUGAGUGAAACGCGUGGAACCUGUCCUUAACUGACUGGUAAAACCAGGGGACAGGGGCGCAUAUCGCAGAGGAGAUCCUGCUCCGCAGGGGUGGUUGGAAAGAUUCGGCUGUGCGGUAUGGACUAGAGGCAUCCGCGCUGGAUUAGCUGGUUGGUAAGGUAAAGGCUUACCAAGGCUACGAUGCGUAGCCGACCUGAGAGGGUGAUCGGCCACACUGGAACUGAGACACGGUCCAGACUCCUACGGGAGGCAGCAGUAGGGAAUCUUCCGCAGUGGGCGAAAGCCUGACGGAGCAACGCCGCGUGAGUGAUGAAGGUGUUCGGAUCGUAAAACUCUGUUAUUAGGGAAGAACAAAUGUGUAAGUAACUAUGCACGUCUUGACGGUACCUAAUCAGAAAGCCACGGCUAACUACGUG
rnacentral:rRNA from 1 species